UUACGGCCACAUUACACUUAUACACUGGUUCCCAUAUGAUCAUUGAAGUUAAGCAAUGUCACACCUGAUUAGUAACUAAAUAGGGGAUCACUUGGGAAUAGCAGGGGCUGUAA